GUUUUAGCCAAAAGGGUAUAAUAGUCCUUUUAAAUUUUCAUUUAACAGCAACUGAUGACAAGGGUCUGAAUAUAAUUUGAUAUUUGAUGACAGGGGGUCUGAGUAUAAUUUGAUAUUAUGCAAGUGAUGUAUCUCUAAUAAUGACAUUCUCUAAGGGGUGACGUUGUAAAUUAUCCUUUAUUUUUUUUAUCAAUUUCAUUUGAUUUGAUUAUUGGUUGAUUCAAUCUUCAGUUCAAAACCAAUUCAAUAAGAAUCGAUUUCAUUUAACCAAAUUUUUUCGAUCGGUUUUAUCAGUUCGGGCUAAGUUUUGACACCCCCUACGCCCCUACUGCGGUAGUAAACUGAAUCAAGGAUCCAGUGGUAAUAUUCCUCCAUCCAUAAAAGUAUAUUCUCUCCCCUCUCCCUCUCCCUCAAAGACUCAAUCAUCCUCUGAGAGUAGAAAAACACUCCCAUAUCCCAUAAACAAUUCACUCUCUCCACGCUUUGUGUCUCCUCCUCCUUCCUCUGAUCCUCUCCAUCUCCUCUGUUGCGCUGUUCGCACAAAGCCACAAACACCACAUGGGCAGGCGAGGCUUGAAAUCCAAUCCCUCUCUAGUUUCGUUUCCCUAUUAUUUCCAUCAUCAGGGAAAGUUUUCAUUCCCCAAAACCCACCGGCGGUGCUAUCAGUUUCUGACGAAAGAAGAAGUAAUCUUAAUGCUGUGUCUACUGUCUACGGUGGCAAUACCUGACCAUCCUCAUAGCCUCUUUCUUCAUCCAUGUUGGUGAUGUCCUGAGCUGGGCAGAACCUCAUGGACUGAUUCCUUCUGAAUCUUAACAAAGUAUGCCUUGAGAACCUAUCGGUCGUCGAGUGUACGCAAUGUACAGCUUUAGUGCUAAUCAAUGAUCUUACACAGGUAUUUUGCAGUGCCAAGUUUAUGAUUCUUUCAUGGGGAAUUGGGGAUACCCUUCACUCGCAUAAUGAAGUGAAUAUGUCUUCUUCACAUUAGGAAGAACGGGAGAUUUCUGGAAAAAAAAAGAAUUUGAGCAGUGUUUCAGAAACCUUUCCAAGUUGCAAGAAUCUCAUGGAAGAUCUCUGCUAUGAGUUCUCUGUCUGCACAUUGCAGAAAGCAAUCGAAAUCAUCUCGAAUGUCAAAUAUCUUACCGAACUUCACAAGGACAGAGAUGUCAUACUUAUCGGCUGCACGAAGGAGUGCUAGUCGGUGGGUGAGAAACUGAUCAUGUUGGAUGAUCCCAUAGAUGUAAUCUAGGAAGGCCUGGCAAGCAUCGAUUGACAUGUCAGAGAUGUUUAUGGUUGAG